GUCUAUGGCCAUGCUACCCUGAACAAGCCCGAUCCUAUCUGAUUUGGAAGCUAAGCAGGGUCGGGCCUGGUUAGUACUUGGUUAGGAGACCACCUAGGAAGACCAGGUGCUGUAGGUG
rnacentral:rRNA from 1 species